rnacentral:rRNA from 1 species
GUGAGGAAUAUUGGUCAAUGGGCGAGAGCCUGAACCAGCCAAGUCGCGUGAAGGAAGAAGGAUCUAUGGUUCGUAAACUUCUUUUGCAGGGGAAUAAAGUGCAGGACGUGUUCUGUUUUGUAUGUACCCUGAGAAUAAGGAUCGGCUAACUCCGUGCCAGCAGCCGCGGUAAUACGGAGGAUCCGAGCGUUAUCCGGAUUUAUUGGGUUUAAAGGGUGCGUAGGUGGUUUGAUAAGUCAUCGGUGAAAGUUUGCAGCUUAACUGUAAAAAUGCCGUUGAAACUGUCGGACUUGAGUGUAAAUGAGGUAGGCGGAAUGCGUGGUGUAGCGGUGAAAUGCAUAGAUAUCACGCAGAACUCCGAUUGCGAAGGCAGCUUACUAAGCUACAACUGACACUGAAGCACGAAAGCGUGGGGAUCAAACAGGAUUAGAUACCCUAGUAGUCC